AUGGGAAAAGUAAAGAGCUGCGUCGUAAGUGAUUCAGUUCAUGGAUUCAUUACCACCAUCGCCAGAAAACAACACAUUGUGGAGACACGCCUGUCACAUCACUUGGCUCGCCACUUCUCCAUUUUCAAUGAUCUCCAACUCCGCAGCUCUGAUAGAAUUGAUCAAUUCUUCCAUGGGCUCUCUAAAUCAUCUCAAGUAUCCCUGCUCAAGGUGCUAGAUCUAGAAGGUUGUCGGUGCUUUCUUGAGAAGAACCAUCGGUACCUCAAGGAAAUCUGCAGCAAGAUGUUACUGCUCAAGUAUCUGAGCCUAAGGAGAACAGAUAUUACCCAGCUACCUAGUGAAAUCAACAACCUCCGUGAGCUAGAGGUACUGGAUAUCCGAGAAACUAAUGUGCCUCCACAUGCAACAGCACAUAUCCUGCUAUUGAAGCUGAAGCGUCUGCUUGCUGGUCACAUUGAUCCAAGUAAUUUUGAAUCUAAUCCCCAGAUUCCUCAUAGGAUCGACAAAAUGGUAAACAUGGAGGUACUAUACAAUGUCAAGGCCAAGCAGAGUCAUGACUUAAAAGAUAUUGGAAGGCUAUGGCAGCUGAGGAAGCUAGGUGUGGUUAUCGAUGAUAAGGAUAAUCACCUAAGGAAUUUGCUUAAGGCGAUCAGUGACCUACAUGAGUGUCUCUGUUCUCUGUCAAUCACUAUUCCUGUAGCCGGACCACAUGAGGCAGAGUUACCAGAAGUCAAUGUAUCUUACCUAAAAAAACAUCCCAAGAUUCUUGAGUCUCUAAGCAUCAAGGGAACCACACAGAAGGGGCGUCUUCUUCCAUUGUUCAUAAAAGGCGAUAACAACAAACUUGCCAAGAUAACUCUAUGUCACACUCUGCUGAGCCAAGAUGAUCUGGAAGUCCUUGCCAAGCUGCCCAAGUUACGGUGUGUCAGGCUCCAACAUAUUCUAUGCACCGAGCACAAGCUGAACUUCAAGAAAGGUGAAUUCGGAUGCCUCAAGUACCUUCUUGUUGAGGACUCAGACUUGACUAAUAUCACUUUUGAGGAUGAGGCAGCCAGUGAGCUCGAGAAGAUGGUUUUGUCUAUCACCAGCAAAUGUUCUAUUUCAGGAGUUGACUGCCUUCUUAACUUGAAAGAGCUUGAGUUGAACAGCAGCUUCUGCGGCAGUUUGCUUGACGAUGCCAAACAGAUAUCCAAGCUAACUCUUCGUGGUACAUUGCUAGAGCAAGAUGCUCUUCAAACACUCGCCAAGAAACCAAAUAUACGCUCUCUGCUGCUCCGGGACAAGUCUUUUCGUGGAAGUCAAAACAAGAUUACAUUGAAAAAAGAUGAGUUCUUGUGGCUCAACCUUCUUGCUGUUGACUGCUCGGCCAUCACAAAGAUAGUCUUCACCAGAGGAUCUGCUCCUAGGCUCGAGAAGAUUGUCUGGUCAUCUUCCACAUCUCUCUCCGGCAUCAACAAACUUCCCAGAUUGAAGGAGCUCGAGUUCAACCUCAACGGUGUCGGUGACCAAGUCCCUGUUGAGAUGAGGGAGGCCAUUAAAAACCAUAAAAACAAGCCUAGUCUUAAACUUAAUGGGCCAGAAACUCAAGACAAAGCAAAAGGAGAUGAACAAGAGGAUGACGAUGAUGCUGCAACAUCCUCUUUCUGCUGGAAGAAACAGGUCUGA
rnacentral:rRNA from 1 species